rnacentral:tRNA from 1 species
GGGCCUGUAGCUCAGUCUGGUAGAGCAUCGCCCUUGCAAGGCGGGGGCCUGGGGUUCAAAUCCCCACGGGUCCA